rnacentral:rRNA from 1 species
GACGAACGCUGGCGGCGUGCUUAACACAUGCAAGUCGAACGGAAAGGCCCUUCUUUUGUGGUGUGCUCGAGUGGCGAACUGGUGAGUAACACGUUAGUAACCUGCCCUUUACUUUGUGAUAACUUCAUGAAACUGUGGCUAAUACCGGAUAGGAGCUCCUGCUGCAUGGUGGUGUUUGGAAAGUUUCGGCGGUUGGGGAUGGACUCGCGGCUUAUCAGCUUGUUGGUGGGGUAGUGGAUUACCAAGGCUUUGACGGGUAGCCGGCCUGAGAGGGUGAGCGGACAAAUUGGGACUGAGAUGAGGCCCAGACUACAACGGGAGGCAGCAGUGGGGAAGAUAGCACAAUGGGCGGAAGCAUGAUGAAGCAAAGCGGCGUGCGGGAUGACGGCCUUCGGGUUGUAAACCGAUUUAGACUGUGACGAAGAGUGAGUGACGGUAAUGGGUAAAGAAGCACCGGCUAACUACGUG